rnacentral:rRNA from 1 species
GACGAACGCUGGCGGCGUGCUUAACACAUGCAAGUCGAGCGGUAAGGCCCUUUCGGGGUACGACGAGCGGCGAACGGGUGAGUAACACGUGGGUGACCUGCCCUCAGCUCUGGGAUAAGCCUGGGAAACCGGGUCUAAUACCGGAUAUGACUCCAUGACGCAUGUUGUGGGGUGGAAAGCCUUGUGCGGCUGAGGAUGGGCCCGCGGCCUAUCAGCUUGUUGGUGGGGUGGAUGGCCUACCAAGGCGACGACGGGUAGCCGGCCUGAGAGGGCGACCGGCCACACUGGGACUGAGACACGGCCCAGACUCCUACGGGAGGCAGCAGUGGGGAAGUCUUGCGCAAUGGGCGAAAGCCUGACGCAGCGACGCCGCGUGAGGGAUGACGGCCU